CUCGCCCAUUACUCCGAAGGCAACAAAACAUUCCGCGGCAUCAUUGCUACUCUCGAGAUUGUCAUCCUCGACUUGCUCGUGCAUUGGGCUCGCACCGUGCACACACAAGCAAUGCCUAGACAAUCCUAAUCAUAGCUCAACCGCCCACACAAAGAGAAUUGGCUAGCUUCUUCCAAAGCCAACCCACCCCCAACGUGUUCGAGUGGCCAACAAUUCGCUAGCUUCUUCAUGAACUCCGCCGAAAGCCAUCCUCGACGUACUCGUGCAUUGAGAAGGUUUGGUGGCCGUACUCCCAACACAAAAGCAUUACCGAAGACAACCCCAAGCUAAAGUUCACCCGAAGCCCACCCAUCGUCACCACGUGUGUUCGUGUGCCCAACAAUUGGCUAGCUUCUUCAUCAACCCCGCCGAAAGCCAUCCCCCGACAUACCCGUGCAUUGAGAAGGUUUGGUGGCCGUACUCCCAACACAAAAGCAUAACCGAGGACAACCCCAAGCUAAAGUAAACUCGAAGCCAACCCAUCGUCGCCCACACUAGUCGGUGAAAAUGGUGUGGUUCGGGUGGGGUUGAGCUUGGGGUUGUCUUCGGUUGGGGUUGUGUGUGGUGAGGCUGGUGUGUUGGGAGUCGGACGCAAGAGCUCCAUUUUCACCCACUCCCGCCCCGUGUGGUGUGGCGGUGAUUGGAUAGUUACGGAUUGAGCAAUUGCCAUGGAUGAUCAAAAUGUGUCAUUUGGAAGGAUUUUUGUCAAAAAGUUUUUAAAAUCUCGUGGGUUUGCGACUCAUAGGAGCAUCACUUUCAACGUCCCCGGUAUUGGGUUGAGUUUCUAAAAACAACCGUGCACACCGAGGUUAAACUUUACCGGGUCCGCUCCGACUCGCCACUCGCCCACUACUCCGAAAGAAACGAAACAUUUGUUUUUCAUUUUGAUGAAAAUUUCUGAUUUGAAAUCGUUUUGGUUUGAAAUUGUUUUGAAAAGGUUCUUUAAAUCUUGUGGGUUUGCAACUCGUAGGAGCAUCACUUUCAACGUCCCCGGUAUUGGAUUGAGUUUCUAAAAACAACCGUGCACACCGAGGUUAAACUUUACCGGGUCCGCUCCGACUCGCCGCUCGCCCACUACUCCGAAGGCAACGAAACAUUUGUUUUUAAUUUUGAUGAAAUUCUUUUGAAAAAAUUGGCUUGGCAACCCCAAUCCGCGACUAUCCACCCACCGCCACCCCACACGGGUGGUUGUUAGUUGCGAAAUGAGGUUGUUGUCGACAUGCCGGUGCAUUUGAGAAGGAGUUCCUAGCAACUCCGUGCUCUCCCAUGCAAAAAAAAGCCUAGACAACCCCAUUUCGCAACUUUCCACGCCUUUUUUUUUUUUUUCCCACCUCACCCAUGGCGGCGGCGUGGUGGCGGCCGGAACCGGCCGCCACCGCCAUGGGUGGCAGCCCCCCACCCCGACACCAAACCCAUAAUACCGAGGCAACAUAUCGAGGCAACAUGACAUGGGUGUGGCGUGGGGGAAGGGGGCUGCAGCUAGGAAGGCAUGGGCUGCCAUGCAUAUGCAGGCAACACACACCCCCCUAUAUAGCAUUUUAUGCAUUUUGCCCUUUGACAGGAGGAGACAUCAACUAUGCGCGAGGAGUCAUAAUGGGCUCUAAAUAAUUCAAUACAAGGUAUUUUGACGUGAUUUUUUGCAGAGACACUAACAAAAAUGCAAUCUAUGAUGGGAAAAAGUUUCAUAAAUUUCUGAGGUCGGGAAGUAUUUUUUAUUAUUUUUAGAAGUCGUAAAAUUGAAAAAAUCAUUAAAAAAAAUCGGGGAGGAAUUUUUUAGUUUUGUAAGUUGGAGAAGGUCCUAAAAAUCAUAGACUACUUAUGGGGAGCUUAUUGUGCGAGGAAAUUUCAAUAAAAAAGGGGUUUGACAAGGUUUGAAAAAUUCUGUCGACAUUUGUGGGCAUGCUGUGGGCAUAUGUGGGCAUGCUGUGGGCAGCAAUGCCAAGGGCUGGGCAGCAAUGGCAUGUCAAGCUGCCAAUAGCCUCACUCUCGAAAUGCCUUGACUGGGGAGCAAUGCCAAGGCCAUGCCAAGGCAAGGCAUGCCAAGGCACGAAAUGCCAAGGCAAGGCAUGCCAAGCCAAGGCAUGCCAAGGCACGAAAUGCCAAGCCAAGGCAUGCCAAGGCACGACAUGCCAAGGCAAGACAUGCCAAGGCAAGGCAUGCCAAGCUUCCAAUAGCCUCACUUUCUUGAAAUGCCUUGAAUGGGGCAAUGCCAAGGCCAAGGCAAGGCAAGGCAAGGCAAGGCAAGGCAUGCCAAGGCCAAGGCACGACAUGCCAACGCAAGGCAAGGCAAGGCAUGCCAACGCAAGGCAAGGCAAGGCAAGGCAUGCCAAGGCCAUGCCAAGCCAAGCUUCCAAUAGCCUCACUUUCUCGAAAUGCCUUGAAUGGGGCAAUGCCAAGGCCAAGCCAAGGCAAGGCAAGGCAUGUCAAGGCCAAGGCAUGCCAAGGCCAAGGCAUGCCAAGG
rnacentral:lncRNA from 1 species